rnacentral:siRNA from 1 species
UAACUUUUUUGAUCUUCUUGUGUC